AGGGUGCGUAGGCGGCCUGUUAAAAGUCAGGGGUGAAAGACGGUAGCUCAACUAUCGCAGUGCCCUUGAUACUGAUGGGCUUGAAUUGACUAGAGGUAGGCGGAAUGUGACAAGUAGCGGUGAAAUGCAUAGAUAUGUCACAGAACACCGAUUGCGAAGGCAGCUUACUAUGGUCUUAUUGACGCUGAGGCACGAAAGCGUGGGGAUCAAACAGGAUUAGAUACCCGGGU
rnacentral:rRNA from 1 species